rnacentral:rRNA from 1 species
UGAGCAAUCUGCCCUUCUCUUUGGAAUAAGCGUUGGAAACGACGUCUAAUGCCGAAUACGACCUCCUUUCGCAUGAUCGUAGGUGGAAAGCUCCGGCGGAGAAGGAUGAGCUCGCGGCCUAUCAGCUAGUUGGUGUGGGUAAUGGCCCACCAAGGCGACGACGGGUAGCCGGCCUGAGAGGGUGACCGGCCACACUGGGACUGAGACACGGCCCAGACUCCUACGGGAGGNAG